rnacentral:rRNA from 1 species
UACGGAGGGGGCAAGCGUUGUCCGGAAUCAUUGGGCGUAAAGCGCGUGUAGGCGGCCCGAUAAGUCGGCUGUGAAAGUCCAGGGCUCAACCCUGGGAUGCCGGUGGAUACUGUCGGGCUCGAGUCCGGAAGAGGAGUGUGGAAUUCCUGGUGUAGCGGUGAAAUGCGCAGAUAUCAGGAGGAACACCAAUGGCGAAGGCAGCACUCUGGGACGUGACUGACGCUGAGACGCGAAAGCGUGGGGAGCAAACAGG